rnacentral:rRNA from 1 species
UACAGAGGUCUCAAGCGUUGUUCGGAUUCAUUGGGCGUAAAGGGUGCGUAGGCGGCGCGGUAAGUCGGGUGUGAAAUCUCGGAGCUUAACUCCGAAACUGCAUUCGAUACUGCCGUGCUUGAGGACUGGAGAGGAGACUGGAAUUCCCGGUGUAGCGGUGAAAUGCGUAGAUAUCGGGAGGAACAUCAGUGGCGAAGGCGGCCUUCUGGUCCAGUACUGACACUCAAGUGCGAAAGCGUGGGGAGCAAACAGG